GCCUCCGUAGCUCAACUGGAUAGAGCAGGGAGCUUCUACCUCUCAGGUUGCGGGUUCGACUCCUGCCGGGGGCGCCG
rnacentral:tRNA from 1 species